rnacentral:rRNA from 1 species
CCCUUAGAUGUUCUGGGCUGCACACGCGCUACACUGGUGCGUUCAGCGAGUUUAGCACCUUAACAGAUAUGUUUGGGUAAUCUUCUGAAAACGCACCGUGAUGGGGAUCGAUUAUUGUAAUUAUUAAUCGUCAACGAGGAAUUCCUAGUAAGUGUGAAUCAUCAGUUCGCGCUGAUUACGUCCCUGCCCUUUGUACACACCGCCCGUCGCUGCUACCGAUUGAGUGGUCCGGUGAAUUAUUCGGACCGGUGGACUGUGGGGAAACCCGCGGCCUGCUGGGAAGUCUUGUGAACCUUAUCACUUAGAGGAAGCAGAAGUCGUAACA